CCCUAAACCUAAAUGCAGAAAAUGAUGCUACUGUUCAUCUUCUUCACUGAGCCCGACCCGAACUCGCCUGGAACUCAGGCGAGUUCACUCAAAUGGCCCCCUCCCCUCCACGUCACCUUUAUUCCAAUGGUUUUGUAAAAAAAAACGAAUAUUCGCUCCAAUUUUGCACGAUUUUUGGUACGAAAGGACGAUUUGCUGGAUGAAUGGGAGCCGUGGAUGGAUGUAAAUCGAUCUAUGCCUUCCAUUUGUCCCAAAAAUCAUUCAAAAACGUGAAGGUUUUUCGGAUUUUUGGCAGAAGAUUUGAGAUUUUUUGAAGGCUAUAUAUAUGAGGUAAGUUUCUUUGCUAGAUUAGAGGAAAAAUCGGAGAAAAAGUCUUGAUAAAACUUAGUAGAAAAAUUCCUAGGUUUUUUUUAGUUGUCACCCUCUUCAGACCUCUUUCUUUUUUUAGUCAACUUUUUUCUUCAGAAAACAUACAAAAAAAGGCACGAUGGUUUGAGGUCAUUUCUUCAGUCGAGUUCACUUCAUCUUUUCAAAAAAUAAAAAAUCAAUAAAAAAGAGAGCACUGAAACAGAGAUUUUUAGCAUUUGUUCUUCCUCUUGAAGUUUUGGUUCUUAAAGGAAGUUUUGGUUAAAGUUUAAGGUGGAGUUGAGUUGGGUUUCGAAAAUUGGAUUUCAAAGAAAUUUUUAAAAAAGGGUAUUGAUUACUAGAGUUUCAAAACUUCAAUUUACUCUUUUUCUGGACUUGAACGAAGCUGUCAAAGCGCAAAUUUGUGGCUGUUUAUCGUUGAGUUUGCUGGACUCCAAAAGGCUGUUGAAUUCUUUUGUCUUGCUGCAUCUAGGUAAGUUUUCCACUUUGUAAUUAUACCAGCUUGAGUCAAUGAACGAAAAUCGGUUGUUUUGAUUUCCCUAUCAUGCAUUUGAUUUGCUUGUUUGUUACUGACGCCACAAUCUCUCUUAGGUGUAUUUGAUAUUGCAUUGUUAAUAUGCAUUGAACAUUUUUCUUAGUUGCAUUUUGUAUUUGAAUGAAUUUAAAGUCGGCUUAUGUGUAGUAGCUCGAAAUAUAACACUCAUAUGGAUCAAUUUGAUAUUUAUGGUCAUUUAAGCAUAUAUCAUUUUUUGUUAAACCAUUUGUUAGUCUUGAAUGAGGUUGAAGUUUUGUUUAAUUAUUUUGUAGAUUUAGUUAUAAUUCAAGCAGAAGGUUAUCAUGGUACUCUAUGUAUGGAGUUAGUAAAUUGGAGGUGCCAAAAGCUGUCAUUACUGAGUACAUGGCUAUAGUUUGCAUAUCUGGCCACUAGUUGGUUAUAUCAGUAAAAUCUAAAGCUAAGGAUUGGAAUUGAAGUCGUUGGGUGUAAAAAAAAAAGGUUUAAGCUGGAGAUUAGCUGUGCCUUGUUUAGGAUAGUUUAUUGCUUUCUGCAUAUAUUAGAAUGUAUUAUGUCCGUUAUCAUCUUUGAGAAUUGUAAUUGAGGUGACCAGAACUACAACUCCAAUUUAUAUUCAUCUAUAUUUGAUUCUAGUUGUAUAUAAAAGUCUGGACCUGUGUUAGUGACCCAUUUGAGGUUUAGCAGUAGUUCUCUCUGUCACUGCUCUUUGGAUUUGUCCCAGUCUUUUGUUCAUUGGAGCAGCUGAGGCCAAAAUUCUUCAAUUUUGGAAUGGCCCAUAUGUAUCAGUUCAUAGAUUC
rnacentral:lncRNA from 1 species